rnacentral:rRNA from 1 species
UAGGGAAUCUUCCACAAUGGGCGCAAGCCUGAUGGAGCAACACCGCGUGAGUGAAGAAGGGUUUCGGCUCGUAAAGCUCCGUUGUUAAAGAAGAACACGUAUGAGAGUAACUGUUCAUACGUUGACGGUAUUUAACCAGAAAGUCACGGCUAACUACGUGCCAGCAGCCGCGGUAAUACGUAGGUGGCAAGCGUUAUCCGGAUUUAUUGGGCGUAAAGAGAGUGCAGGCGGUUUUCUAAGUCUGAUGUGAAAGCCUUCGGCUUAACCGGAGAAGUGCAUCGGAAACUGGAUAACUUGAGUGCAGAAGAGGGUAGUGGAACUCCAUGUGUAGCGGUGGAAUGCGUAGAUAUAUGGAAGAACACCAGUGGCGAAGGCGGCUACCUGGUCUGCAACUGACGCUGAGACUCGAAAGCAUGGGUAGCGAACAGGAUUAGAUACCCUGGUAGUCCAUGCCGUAAACGAUGAGUGCUAGGUGUUGGAGGGUUUCCGCCCUUCAGUGCCGGAGCUAACGCAUUAAGCACUCCGCCUGGGGAGUACGACCGCAAGGUUG